UGGAGGACAUAAGCUGUAACUAGAAGGUAGAGAAUCACCAACAACACCAAUGUAGAGGACAUAAGCUGUAACUAGAAGGUAGAGAAUCACCAACAACACCAAUGUAGAGGACAUAAGCUGUAACUAGAAGGUAGAGAAUCACCAACAACACCAAUGUGGAGGACAUAAGCUGUAACUAGAAGGUAGAGAAUCACCAACAACACCAAUGUGGAGGACAUAAGCUGUAACUAGAAGGUAGAGAAUCACCAACAACACCAAUGUGGAGGACAUAAGCUGUAACUAGAAGGUAGAGAAUCACCAACAACACCAAUGUGGAGGACAUAAGCUGUAACUAGAAGGUAGAGAAUCACCAACAACACCAAUGUGGAGGACAUAAGCUGUAACUAGAAGGUAGAGAAUCACCAACAACACCAAUGUGGAGGACAUAAGCUGUAACUAGAAGGUAGAGAAUCACCAACAACACCAAUGUGGAGGACAUAAGCUGUAACUAGAAGGUAGAGAAUCACCAACAACACCAAUGUGGAGGACAUAAGCUGUAACUAGAAGGUAGAGAAUCACCAACAACACCAAUGUGGAGGACAUAAGCUGUAACUAGAAGGUAGAGAAUCACCAACAACACCAAUGUGGAGGACAUAAGCUGUAACUAGAAGGUAGAGAAUCACCAACAACACCAAUGUGGAGGACAUAAGCUGUAACUAGAAGGUAGAGAAUCACCAACAACACCAAUGUGGAGGACAUAAGCUGUAACUAGAAGGUAGAGAAUCACCAACAACACCAAUGUGGAGGACAUAAGCUGUAACUAGAAGGUAGAGAAUCACCAACAACACCAAUGUGGAGGACAUAAGCUGUAACUAGAAGGUAGAGAAUCACCAACAACACCAAUGUGGAGGACAUAAGCUGUAACUAGAAGGUAGAGAAUCACCAACAACACCAAUGUGGAGGACAUAAGCUGUAACUAGAAGGUAGAGAAUCACCAACAACACCAAUGUGGAGGACAUAAGCUGUAACUAGAAGGUAGAGAAUCACCAACAACACCAAUGUGGAGGACAUAAGCUGUAACUAGAAGGUAGAGAAUCACCAACAACACCAAUGUGGAGGACAUAAGCUGUAACUAGAAGGUAGAGAAUCACCAACAACACCAAUGUGGAGGACAUAAGCUGUAACUAGAAGGUAGAGAAUCACCAACAACACCAAU